GCUGACCUGUCUGAGUCUCUGCUGCAAGUGGUCAUCGGCCCUGAACACGCGCUCCCCACAACACCAGCAUCGGCACCACCGGAGGACUUGCUGGGAGGGUUGAGAGCCACUGGUCUACGCCAUUCUGCCUCCGGCACCCCCCACCCAGGUCGCGGGCUCCAAAACCCAUGUGGGCUUAAGCCCGACAGACACAUCAUCCCUCCAAACAUCGCAACCGAGCACUGUGUCUGCCAGGCACUGGGGAGACUCGGUA